rnacentral:rRNA from 1 species
GACGAACGCUGGCGGCGUGCUUAACACAUGCAAGUCGAACGGAAAGGCCCUGCUUUUGUGGGGUGCGCGAGUGGCGAACGGGUGAGUAACAUGGGAGUAACCUGCCCUUGACUUUGGGAUAACUUCAGGAAACGGGGGCUUACACCGGAUAGGAGCUCCUGCUGCAUGGUGGUGGUUGGAAAGUUUCGGCGGGUUGGGAUGGACUCGCGGCUUAUCAGCUUGUUGGUGGGGUAGUGGCUUACCAAGGCUUUGACGGGUAGCCGGCCUGAGAGGGUGACCGGCCACAUUGGGACUGAGAUACGGCCCAGACUCCUACGGGAGGCAGCAGUGGGGAAUAUUGCACAAUGGGCGGAAGCCUGAUGCAGCAACGCCGCGUGCGGGAUGACGGCCUUCGGGUUGUAAACCGCUUUCGCCUGUGACGAAGCGUGAGUGACGGUAAUGGGUAAAGAAGCACCGGCUAACUACGUG